rnacentral:misc_RNA from 1 species
GUGAAUCAUCGAAUCUUUGAACGCACAUUGCACCCUCUGGUAUUCCAGGGGGUAUGCCUGUUCGAGCGUCAUUUCAACCCUCAAGCUCAGCUUGGUAUUGGGUGUCACCUGGCAACGGUGUACCUUAAAAUCAGUGGCGGUGCCAUCUGGCUUCAAGUGUAGUAAUUCUCUCGCUUUGGAGGUUUUCAGAUGUGUGUUUGCCAUCAACCCCCAAGUUUUCAAAGGUUGACCUCGGAUCAGGUAGGGAUACCCGCUGAACUUAAGCAUAUCAAUAAGCGGAGGA